rnacentral:tRNA from 1 species
GCGCCCAUAGCUCAGUUGGUAGAGCAGCUGACUCUUAAUCAGCGGGUCCAAGGUUCGAGCCCUUGUGGGCGCACCA